rnacentral:rRNA from 1 species
UACGAAGGGGGCUAGCGUUGCUCGGAAUUACUGGGCGUAAAGGGCGCGUAGGCGGACAGUUAAGUCAGAGGUGAAAUCCCAGGGCUCAACCCUGGAAUUGCCUUUGAUACUGGCUGUCUUGAGUAUGGGAGAGGUAAGCGGAACUCCGAGUGUAGAGGUGAAAUUCGUAGAUAUUCGGAAGAACACCAGUGGCGAAGGCGGCCACCUGGACGGUGACUGACGCUGAGACGCGAAAGCGUGGGGAGCAAACAGG